AUACUUACCUAGACAGAGUCAAUGGGUGAUCAUGAAUGCCCAUGUCCUAGGUUGGUGACCUCCAUUUCACUUUGGAGGGGUGCCCACCUAAGGUCGGCCCAAGUGGCCUACGUCAUAAUUUGUGCAUUUUUUUUUUGCACGGAUUGCCCUUCU